rfam:Solanum tuberosum cultivar DM 1-3 516 R44 scf00318_7, whole genome shotgun sequence.
AUUCCAUGAGUUGGGCACUGCUGUAAUAAUUCCUUAAAUCUUGGCCAUAACUCAUGAAAAGUCUCACCCUCAAUUUGAUUGAAAGUUAGGAUGUUAUCCCUGAGAAU